UACGAAGGGGGCUAGCGUUGCUCGGAUUGACUGGGCGUAAAGGGCGCGUAGGCGGUUUGCAUAGUCAGACGUGAAAUUCCUGGGCUUAACCUGGGGGCUGCGUUUGAUACAUGCAGGCUUGAGUUCGGAAGAGGGUCGUGGAAUUCCCAGUGUAGAGGUGAAAUUCGUAGAGAUCGGGAGGAACACCCGUGGCGAAGGCGGCCAUCUGGACCAGUACUGACGCUGAGGCACGAAAGCGUGGGGAGCGAACAGG
rnacentral:rRNA from 1 species